GCGGGCGUAGCUCAACGGAUAGAGCAUCAGUCUUCGGAACUGAGGGUUGGGGGUUCGAGUCCCUCCGCCCGCGCCA
rnacentral:tRNA from 5 species